rnacentral:rRNA from 1 species
CCCACCUCGAUAAACGUGAGUUGGCAGCCGCCUUUCAUUUCCGACCUCAGAUCGGACGAGAUUACCCGCUGAAUUUAAGCAUAUCACUAAGCGGAGGAAAAGAAACU